AGUAACGGCGAGUGAAGCGGCAACAGCUCAAAUUUGAAAUCUGGCGUCUUCGGCGUCCGAGUUGUAAUUUGCAGAGGGCGCUUUGGCAUUGGCAGCGGUCCAAGUUCCUUGGAACAGGACGUCACAGAGGGUGAGAAUCCCGUACGUGGUCGCUAGCCUUUACCGUGUAAAGCCCCUUCGACGAGUCGAGUUGUUUGGGA
rnacentral:rRNA from 1 species